rnacentral:rRNA from 1 species
CCUACGGUGGGCAGCAGUGGGGAAUAUUGCACAAUGGGGGAAACCCUGAUGCAGCGACGCCGCGUGAGCGAUGAAGUAUUUCGGUAUGUAAAGCUCUAUUGGCAGGGACGAAGAAGACGGUACCUGACUAAGAAGCCGCGGCUAACUACGUGCCAGCAGCCGCGGGAAUACGUAGGUGGCAAGCGUUAUUCGGAUUUACUGGGGGUAACGGGAGCGUAGACGGCGAGGCAAGCCAGAUGUGAAAGCCCGGGGCUCAACCCCGGGACUGCAUUUGGAACUGUGUGGCUGGAGUGUUGGAGAGGCAGGCGGAAUUCCUAGUGUAGCGGUGAAAUGCGUAGAUAUUAGGAGGAACACCAGUGGCGAAGGCGGACUGCUGGACGAUGACUGACGUUGAGGCGCGAAAGCGUGGGGAGCAAACAGGAUUAGAUACCCCAGUAGUC